AGCGAACAUUGUCGGUAGGCUUAACACAUGCAAGUCGAGCGAGGCGUAAUAGUCGAGCGGCCAACGGGUGCGUAAUACAUGGGAAUCUACACUGAAGUGGGGGAUAAAGUCCAGAAAUGGACUCCAAUACCGCAUCAUCCAAAUUGGGAAAGCGUUGCAGCGCUUUAGGUUGAGCCCAUGGCUGAUUGGCUAGCUGGUGAGGUAAUGGUUCACCAAGGCGACGAUCAGUAGCUGGUCUGAGAGGAUGACCAGCCACACUUGAACUGAGACACGGUCCAGACUCCUACGGGAGGCAGCCGUGGGGAAUCUUGCGCAAUGGGGGCAACCCUGACGCAGCCAUACCGCGUGAGUGAUGAAGGUCUUCGGAUUGUAAAGCUCUUUCGGCGGGGACGACGAUGACGGUACCCGCAAAAGAAGUCACGGCUAACUUCGUGCCAGCAGCCGCAGUAA
rnacentral:rRNA from 1 species